rnacentral:tRNA from 1 species
GCCGGGGUGCCCGAGCGGACCAAGGGGCCGGCCUUGAGAGCCGGUGCCCCGUGGAGGGGCGCGCGGGUUCGAAUCCCGCCCCCGGCGCCA